CCAGUGACUAUAUGUUUAACGGCCGCGGUAUUUUGACCGUGCGAAGGUAGCGCAAUCACUUGUCUUUUAAAUGAAGACCUGUAUGAAUGGCACCACGAGGGCUUAGCUGUCUCCUUUUUCCAGUCAAUGAAAUUGAUCUCCCCGUGCAGAAGCGGGGAUAUAAACAUAAGACGAGAAGACCCUAUGGAGCUUCAGACACCAAAACAGAUCAUGUUAAACACCCCUAAAUAAAGGACCAAACCAAAUGAACCCUGUCCUAAUGUCUUUGGUUGGGGCGACCGCGGGGAAACAUAAAACCCCCACGUGGAAUGGGAGUACUCCCUCCUACAACUGAGAGCUUCCGCUCUAAUAAACAGAAUUUCUGACCAACAAGAUCCGGCAACGCCGAUCAACGGACCGAGUUACCCUAGGGAUAACAGCGCAAUCCCCUUUUAGAGCCCAUAUCGACAAGGGGGUUUACGACCUCGAUGUUGGAUCAGGACAUCCUAAUGGUGCAGCCGCUAUUAAGGGUUCGUUUGUUCAACGAUUAAAGUCCUACGUGAUC
rnacentral:rRNA from 1 species